rnacentral:rRNA from 1 species
UACAGAGGUCUCAAGCGUUGUUCGGAUUCAUUGGGCGUAAAGGGUGCGUAGGCGGCGCGGUAAGUCGGGUGUGAAAUCUCGGAGCUUAACUCCGAAGCUGCAUUCGAUACUGCCGUGCUUGAGGACUGGAGAGGAGACUGGAAUUUACGGUGUAGCGGUGAAAUGCGUAGAUAUCGUAAGGAAGACCAGUGGCGAAGGCGGGUCUCUGGACAGUUCCUGACGCUGAGGCACGAAGGCCAGGGGAGCAAACGGG